rnacentral:tRNA from 1 species
AGGAGUGUAGCUCAGUCGGAAGAGCAGUGGUCUCCAAAACCAAUUGUCGCGGGUUCAAUUCCUGUCACUCCUGCCA